GAUGAACGCUGGCGGCAUGCCUAAUACAUGCAAGUCAAACGAGAGGAAGGAAAGCUUGCUUUCCUGAAUCUAGUGGCGAACGGGUGAGUAACACGUAGGUAACCUGCCCAUGUGCCCGGGAUAACUUCUGGAAACGGAUGCUAAAACCGGAUAGGUAGCAGACAAGCAUUUGACUGCUAUUAAAGUGGCCUUGGCCAUGAACAUGGAUGGACCUGCGGUGCAUUAGCUAGUUGGUGAGGUAACGGCCCACCAAGGCGACGAUGCAUAGCCGGCCUGAGAGGGCGGACGGCCACAUUGGGACUGAGACACGGCCCAAACUCCUACGGGAGGCAGCAGUAGGGAAUUUUCGUCAAUGGGGGGAACCCUGAACGAGCAAUGCCGCGUGAGUGAGGAAGGUCUUCGGAUCGUAAAGCUCUGUUGUAAGAGAAAAACGGCACUCAUAGGGAAUGAUGAGUGAGUGAUGGUAUCUUACCAGAAAGUCACGGCUAACUACGUGCCAGCAGCCGCAGUAAUAC
rnacentral:rRNA from 1 species